ACUGAAUAGAUACCCGGGUAGUCCACGCCCUAAACGAUGGAUACUAGGCGUGAGAGGUAUCGACCCCUCUCGUGCCGCAGCUAACGCACUAAGUAUCCCGCCUGGGGAGUACGGCCGCAAGGUUGAAACUCAAAUGAAUUGACGGGGACCCGGCACAAGCGGUGGAGCAUGUGGAUUAAUUCGAUACUAACCGAAGAACCUUACCCAGACUUGACAUCGAUGGUAAGCCUGCGAAAGCAGGCCCUCCCUCUCAAGGGGACCAGAAGACACUUGUUGCAUGGCUGUCGUCAGCUCGUGCCGUGAGGUGUACGGUUAAGUCCGCCAACGAGCGCAACCCUCGUCCUGUGUUACCAGCAUGAAAGAUGGGCACUCACAGGAGACCGCCGGUGUAAGCCGGAGGAAGGUGGGGAUGACGUCAAGUCAGCAUGGCAGUUACGUCUGGGGCUUCACACAUGCUACAAUGGGCGCAACAGAGGGCCGCAAAGCCGCGAGGCGGAGCU
rnacentral:rRNA from 1 species